rnacentral:rRNA from 1 species
CAGAGGGUGCAAGCGUUGCUCGGAAUUAUUGGGCGUAAAGGGUAGUAGGUGGUCUCAUUUGUCUGGGGUGAAAUCCUUGAGCUUAACUCAAGACGUGCCCCAGAAACGGUGAGACUAGAGUACUGGAGAGGGUCGUAGAAUUCCUGGUGUAGCGGUGAAAUGCGUAGAGAUCAGGAGGAAUACCAGCGGCGAAGGCGGCGACCUGGACAGUAACUGACACUCAACUACGAAAGCGUGGGGAGCAAACAGGAUUAGAUACCCUGGUAGUCCACGCCGUAAACGAUGGAUACUAGGCUUUGUGGGUCUUGACCCCCGCAGAGCCGGAGCUAACGCGAUAAGUAUCCCGCCUGGGAAGUACGGUCGCAAGACUA